AACUGCUAAAAUGAAUGUAACGGGUGGUAUCCUGGGGGGUACAAAGAAUCUUUCUGGGCUACCAUUAAACCCCUAACCUUUGGCAAGCUCUUCAGUACUUGCCAAAUUCUCAUGCUGUCUUGUUGAAUUAAGUUCUUAGAAGUUUUGAGCAGAUUCAUUGAAUUGUAAAAUGCUUCAAGUAAAUUUGGUUUAUUUAAAUGUUAUAAGUAGAAUUUUUAUAUUAUGCUUACUCCUCAGUCUAGUUUUGACUUACUAAUCUCGGCACAGUACUGCUAAUGGGUGUUCUGACUGUCCCUCUCCCUGAGGUUAAUUGCAGAGAUUGUGGAAUUAAGUUAGGUUAGGAAGGGCCCAAAUUCCAUAGCAUGCACAGCAUGGUCAGUCAGCUAAGCUGUGUGCAGUUAAACUUCCCCGUCUCCCCUGGAGGGAGAACUUCUUAGCUUAGGAUGCACACUUUCAGCCCUCGAAGGGUUAAGGGUCAGCAGAGAUGGCUUGUCUUAUCUCACUUGCAGGUGAGAAGUCUCCAGCUUUCUUUUGACAGUGGAGGCGCUCUGGGCUACCCUCUGAGUCACUGUUCUCUCCCCUUCUGUUGCAGAGUCUGAUAAGGAUGAGAAAUCACAAAGGGCUAUAGUGCCCAAGGAAGUGACACCAGCCUUGUGCUCACUGAUGAGCAGCUACGGCAAUGUCUCCGGGUCAGAGAGUGAACCAGAAGAAGCUCCCAUCAAGACGGAAGCAGAAGUUCUGGCAGAAAACCGUGUUCUUCCUAGCAGUCCUCCCAAGAGUCCAAGACACAAUGUUCGAACAACCGCUAGAACUGUCUUACGAGCCAAGUGGAAGGCCCAGAGGAGUGGGCUCCGAAAGAUAACCCUUAAGCAGAAAAAGAGCCCCUGCCACCCAUUAUUUGAACCAAGAACACGUCACCCACAUCUCCUGGAGAUGCUUCUAGCUCCAGAUAUUCGACAUGAGAGAAAUGUGAUUCUGCAGUGUGUUCGAUAUAUCAUCAAAAAAGACUUUUUUGGACUUACUGCUGGUUCUGUGAAAACUGAAGAUGUGUAGAUGUCUCGUGUCUCCACACAUUUAUGUAAAGUAUGUGAGAGAGCUUGGAGAGAAAGCCAGCAACGUCUGAAGACAGACAGGGUCAGUUACUUAACUGUGAACCUCCUGCAUGUUAUGUCGGAUUUUACGUCUGUCCUUUGGCUUUAUGAAAAUAAAUGCAUAGCUGGUCUUUUCU
rnacentral:lncRNA from 1 species